AGAGUUUGAUCAUGGCUCAGGACGAACGCUGGCGGCGUGCCUAACACAUGCAAGUCGAGCGGUCCGGCACUUAACCUUUUAGGUUGGGUGCUGGAUAGCGGCGAACGGGUGAGUAACGCGUGGGUGACCUGCCCGGGAGACCGGGAUAACAGCUCGAAAGGGCUGCUAAUACCGGAUGAUAUCUUUUGGCUGCGGCCAAGGGAUCAAAGCGUUUUAGCGCUCUCGGAUGGGCCCGCGUCCCAUUAGCUAGUUGGUGGGGUAAUGGCCUACCAAGGCGACGAUGGGUAGCCGGUCUGAGAGGAUGGUCGGCCACACUGGGACUGAGACACGGCCCAGACUCCUACGGGAGGCAGCAGUGGGGAAUUUUGCGCAAUGGGGGCAACCCUGACGCAGCGACGCCGCGUGGGUGAAGAAGGCCUUCGGGUUGUAAAGCCCUGUUGGGGGGGACGAUAGUGACGGUACCCCCUGAGGAAGCCCCGGCUAACUACGUGCCAGCAGCCGCGGUAAUACGUAGGGGGCGAGCGUUGUCCGGAAUUACUGGGCGUAAAGGGCGUGUAGGCGGCCUUUCAAGUCGGCUGUGAAAGUCCCCGGCUCAACCGGGGGAUUGCAGUCGAAACUGAGGGGCUUGAGUGCAGGAGAGGAGGGUGGAAUUCCCGGUGGAGCGGUGAAAUGCGUAGAUAUCGGGAGGAACACCGGUGGCGAAGGCGACCUUCUGGCCUGUUACUGACGCUGAGGCGCGAAAGCCGGGGGAGCAAACAGGAUUAGAUACCCUGGUAGUCCCGGCCGUAAACGCUGGGUACUAGGUGUAGAGGGCUUUGAUGCCUUCUGUGCCGUAGUUAACGCAUUAAGUACCCCGCCUGGGGAGUACGGUCGCAAGGCUGAGACUCA
rnacentral:rRNA from 1 species